rnacentral:rRNA from 1 species
AAUGAACGUUGGCGGCGUGGAUUAGGCAUGCAAGUCGAGCGGGUGUAGUAAUACAUCAGCGGCGAAAGGGAGAGUAACGCGUAGUUACGUGCCCCGAGGUCCAGAAUAGCUACGGGAAACUGUAGGUAAUGCUGGAUGAUAUCUCCGGAUCAAAGGUGUGAUUCCGCCUCGGGAGCGGACUGCGUCCUACUAGCUAGUUGGCGGGGUAAUGGCCAACCAAGGCGACGAUGGGUAGCGGGUGUGAGAGCAUGACCCGUCUCACUGGGACUGAGACACUGCCCAGACACCUACGGGUGGCUGCAGUCGAGAAUCUUCGGCAAUGAGCGCAAGCUUGACCGAGCGACGCCGCGUGCGGGAUGAAGGCCUUCGGGUUGUAAACCGCUUUCGGUUGGGAGGAAAUCGCUAGGGGUUCUCCCCUAGUGUUGACCUAUCUUCGGAAGAAGGACGGGCUAAGUUCGUGCCAGCCGCCGCCGUAAUAC